CUGGCUCGAAUUGAUUCAGUUUCUGUCCACCUAAAGGUAUAUUUUCUUGCUCGAAUUGAUUCAGUUUUUCUCCACCUAAAGGUAUAUUUUCUUGCUCGGAUUGAUUCAUUUUCUCUCUGUCUGAGGGUAUAUGUUCUUGCUCACAUAUAUCCAGUGUCUCUCCGCCUGAAGUUAUAUCCUCUUGUUCAGAUUGAUUCAGUUUCUCUCCGCCUGAAAUUAUAUACUCUGGCUCAGAUUGAUUCAGUUUCUCUCCGCCUGAAGUUAUGUACUCUGGCUCGAAUUGAUUCAGUUUCUGUCCACCUAAAGGUAUAUUCUCUUGUUCAGACUGAUUCAGUUUCUGUCCACCUAAAGGUAUAUUCUCUUGUUCAGAUUGAUUCAGUUUCUCUCCGCCUGAAAUUAUAUACUCUGGCUCGAAUUGAUUCAGUUUCUGUCCACCUAAAGGUAUAUUUUCUUGCUCGAAUUGAUUCAGUUUUUCUCCACCUAAAGGUAUAUUUUCUUGCUCGGAUUGAUUCAUUUUCUCUCUGUCUGAGGGUAUAUGUUCUUGCUCACAUAUAUCCAGUGUCUCGCCGCCUGAAGUUAUAUCCUCUUGUUCAGAUUGAUUCAGUUUCUCUCCGCCUGAAAUUAUAUACUCUGGCUCAGAUUGAUUCAGUUUCUCUCCUCCUGAAGGUAUCUUCUCUUGUUCAGAUUGAUUCCGUUUCUCUCCACCUAAAGGUAUAUUCUCUUGCUCGGAUUGAUUCCGUUUCUCUCCGCCUGAAGUUAUGUACUCUGGCUCGGAUUGAUUCAGUUUCUCUCCGUCUGUUGGUAUGUUUUCUUGUGCAUUUACGUUCUGUUUCUCUCCGCCUGAAGGUAUAUGCUCUUGCUCAUAUUGAUUCAGUUUCUCUCCGCCUGAAGGUAUCUUCUCUUGUUCAGAUUGAUUCAUUUUCUCUCCAUCUGAGGGUAUGUUUUCUUGCACAUAUAGAUUCAGUUUCUCUCUGCCUGAGGGUAUAUACUCUUGUUCAGAUUGAUUCAGAUUCUCUCCAUCUGUGGGUAUGUGUUCUUGUGCAUUUAGAUUCAGUUUCUCUCCUCCUGAAGGUAUAUACUCUUGUUCAGAUUGAUUCAGUCUCUCUGAGUGUAUAUACUCUUGCUCAGGUUGAUUCAGUCUCUCUGAGUGUAUAUACUUUUGCUCAGUUUGAUUCAGUCUCUCUGAGUGUAUCUGCUCUACCUCCUCACUGUAUAAUAUGUCUUGUGUCUGGGAAAGUUCAGUGUGAGACUCAAUUUGAAGACUCAGUACUGACUCGCUCUCAAUCAUCUGCCCAGUAAAGUGUUCACUGUAACUGGAUAUAGAUAAAUUCUCUAGCUCUUGCUCCACCAAUCUAUCAAUUCUUUCUUCAUUAUAGUCCUCAUCAGAGCACACCAUGGAGUACUCUCCAGGUUCUGUAAGUUCCUCAUAGGAUUGCUCCUCUUCUGCCUCCUGAAUCAACUGAUCUACAGCAUUCUCCUCAUCGUUCUCCUGUGUAGCAUGCUCCUUUGUUUGGCUAGCAUCCACGUCGCCUUGGUGAGUGGAGCCCAUGUGACGUUCCUGAUCUAUGACAUCUCCUUCUGACUCUUCAUACAGAUCCUCCAUGGUGUCAAACUGUUUGGACUUGCCUUCGCCCCAGGUGUCUGUUCCUGUCUGGCAAACCUCCCUGUCCUCUUCACCAUCACUGGAGUCGCUCUCGCCCAUGUGUGAAGCCAGAGUGUUGACAUCCGUCUCGUCACUCUUGUAACGGAUCAAGGGGUGUGUGUCGGCUAGUGUGUUGUCCUGAGCAUAGCUGUCGCCUUCUAGCUCAGCCCUCCAUGAAACAGAAUUAUUUUGACAGUAGUUUGCCUCAUCAUGAUCCUCUUUGUCAUUGUCGGAUAUAUUCAGUUUAUCUCCGCCUGAAGUUAUGUACUCUGGCUCGGAUUGAUUCAGUUUCUCUCCACCUGAAGGUAUAUACUCUGACUCGGAUUGAUUCAUUUUCUCUCCGUCUGUUGUUAUGUGUUCUUGUGCAUUUACGUUCUGUUUCUCUCCGCCUGAAGUUAUGUACUCUGGCUCGGAUUGAUUCAGUUUCUCUCCGCCUGAAGGUAUAUGUUCUUGCUCAGAUUGAUUCAGUUUCUCUCCGUUUGAAUUGAUAUACCUUUGCUCAGACUGAUUCAGUUUCUCUCUGCCUGAAGGUAUUUGCUCUUGCUCGAAUAGAUUUUGUUUCUCUUCAUUUGAAGGUAUAUACUCUUGAUCAGACCGAUUGGGUUGGGCUUCUCUGUUAUUCCACAUCUCUUCCUCUUUCACAUGAUACUUUGCUUCUUUCCAAUCAUCCAUUCUUUCUCCAAUUCCAUUCUCUUCAUUGUACCCUGCCACUCGAUCCCAUUCAUCCUUUACAUCCCCAUUGGGGUUCAGUGCAUGUUGUUCCUCACGUUUGUUAGACAUAUCAUUUUCAUCAUCCACUUUUGUGAAAUUUAUGUCACCUUCCUCCACUCUUUCAACAUGGUGAAAUACCUCUUCUGACCAGUGAGAAGCUUGAGCAGAUUCAUAUGAGAUAAUCUCCUCUUGGUUGAACUUAUCGAUUCUUUCUGUCAUGUCAUUUUCCUUAAUGAAUCCUCCCAAUCUUUCACAAUCAUCGUUACCAUACCCAUAGGGGUGCAAUUCAUCUUCCAAUUGCUCCUCAUGUUUGUUAGACAUAUCAUUUUCAUCCUCUUUUGGGAGAUGAAUAACAUCUUCCUCCAGUCUUUUAACAUGGCGAAAUGCCUCUUCUGAACCGUGGGAGGCUUGAGUGGAUUCAUAUGACAUAUUGUCCUCUUGGUUGAACUCUAUUGGCUUGUUGUAACUUUUCCCCGCCCCAUACUCAAAAGCUUGACUGCUUGUGAAGGUUUCAAAUGCUUGCUCUAGCACUGAUGCAGUUUCAGAUUCCAAGCCUUCGUUUCUCGCCCAUUCAGCAUCUUUCUUUGCUGUUUCAAGCUCUCUUUCCUCCGAUGCAUUCAUGGGACCGUAAGGCAUAUCUAGUAGAGGUUCCUCUUUUUCAAAAUACAUUUCAAAAGGUACAUCAUUAUCAUCAUUCGCUGAGAAAGCAGAAUGUGCCCCUGUCACCGAACCUGCUCUCUCAUAGCUCACUGAAGGGCUGUAGAGCUCUUGAGCAUCAGUGCUGAACACAGUUGGCAUACUGAAGCUGGUCUCGACCCGGUGACUCAUGGCAGAUUCCAGAACGGGUUUCUCUUCAGCAAACCAGGUUCUGACUAUGUUCUGAUCCUCUUCCUCCUUUUCCAUAUCCCACAUGGAUUGUUCCUUGUGGUCAGAUCCAAGCAAAGAUACAACAUCAGCUCCUGCCUCUUCAGUGGGAGGUGAGAGAGGCUCAGCAUAGUUGACUUCUAUAUGGACAUCUUGGGGUCUGAAGUGGUGGACUGAAAUUCCGUCCUGUGGUACUUUGAGGUAAGGCGUUGAACAACUUACCUGGUGGUUGGACCCUACGCCAAAGUCGAUAUGCUCUUCUGUCUUUCGACAACUCUCAGGUGUUUCAUUCAGGGUUACCCGAUUUUGAGUCCAGAUUGGUGAUGCGGACAUCAUUGUCACAUUGGAUCGUGGACUUGCUCUAUGGAUGGUAGAGAUGGGCCUGAUCAUGUGACUGGUAGCCAGCUGUGUCUGGAAGCUUUGCUUAACCCCUCGGGAGCUGGGCACUCCAACUGUGA
ensembl:lncRNA